rnacentral:rRNA from 1 species
UGAGGAAUAUUGGUCAAUGGGCGCGAGCCUGAACCAGCCAAGUAGCGUGCAGGAUGACGGCCCUAUGGGUUGUAAACUGCUUUUGUAUGGGGAUAAAGUCAAUCACGUGUGAUUGUUUGCAGGUACCAUACGAAUAAGGACCGGCUAAUUCCGUGCCAGCAGCCGCGGUAAUACGGAAGGUUCGGGCGUUAUCCGGAUUUAUUGGGUUUAAAGGGAGCGUAGGCCGGAGAUUAAGUGUGUUGUGAAAUGUAGACGCUCAACGUCUGACUUGCAGCGCAUACUGGUUUCCUUGAGUACGCACAACGUUGGCGGAAUUCGUCGUGUAGCGGUGAAAUGCUUAGAUAUGACGAAGAACUCCGAUUGCGAAGGCAGCUGACGGGAGCGCAACUGACGCUUAAGCUCGAAGGUGCGGGUAUCGAACAGGAUUAGAUACCCUGGUAGUCCGCACAGUAAACGAUGGAUGCCCGCUGUUGGUACCUGGUAUCAGCGGCUAAGCGAAAGCAUUAAGCAUCCCACCUGGGGAGUACGCCGGCAACGGUG